rnacentral:rRNA from 1 species
AUACGUAGGGGGCGAGCGUUGUCCGGAAUGAUUGGGCGUAAAGGGCGCGUAGGCGGCGCGGUAAGUCUGGAGUGAAAGUCCUGCUUUCAAGGUGGGAAUUGCUUUGGAUACUGCCGCGCUUGAGUGCAGGAGAGGUUAUCGGAAUUCCCGGUGUAGCGGUAAAAUGCGUAGAGAUCGGGAGGAACACCAGUGGCGAAGGCGGGUAACUGGACUGCAACUGACGCUGAGGCGCGAAAGUGUGGGGAGCAAACAGGAUUAGAUACCCUGGUAGUCCACACUGUAAACGAUGAAUGCUAGGUGUAAGAGGUAUCGACCCCUUUUGUGCCGGAGUCAACACAAUAAGCAUUCCGCCUGGGGAGUACGGCCGCAAGGUUGAAACUCAAAUGAAUUGACGGGG